CACAUCAGCACGCUUUGCUGAUGUGGCAACAAAUCGAGUCCUCGAGGGGGCAAUUUUUUUCCACGUCAGCAAAGCGCGCUGACGUGG
rfam:Gossypium hirsutum cultivar TM-1 chromosome 18, whole genome shotgun sequence